GUGCAGCUGUAAUGGGUUAAGAGACCAUUUAUAGCCUAGUUUUCUGGCGGGGUUUUUGCCCCAGCGUACUUCAUUACAGGUGGGAAAACAACACGGAUUGUAUGUCCUUCAGUGUUCAUGUAGGCUGGGAAGUGGGAGGAGAAAAACAAAACAAAGCUGAAAAUGAGUGUUGAAUGGGCUUUCCCAGGAUUCCCAGGUAUCUGUGGUUACCUCUGUGUGAACUGUAGCAAAGUUCUCCAAAAAGGAGCAACAUCAAUAGAACGCCUGUUAUGACACACAACAGAAAACCACUUGAAGUAUUGCUGUUACUCACUACAGAAGAAUGAUUUGUGCAAAGAUAAGAUGCUUUGGCCUUGAGACACACAUGAGUAAAUUGGGUAGUUUUCCUAAGAAGCAUUCUUGUUGAACUGUUUUCCUUUUCCAUUUCAGUUGACAAUAUGGAUCUGUAGUAUAUUGUUGGAUCUGCUGUGUGAUAACACAACAAAGCCUGUGUUCUGCUCUCAGCAGUGCUAUUUAUACCUUGUAACAUUUUUCAAAGUACUGCUUUAGUGUUCUUCCACUGUUCAAAAAAAAAAAAAAAAAAAGCCCAACCAAAACAACAUAAGAUAACCCUGCCCCCAAAACAGAUAAAUAAAUAAAUAAAUAAAUAAAUAAAUAGAACCA
rnacentral:lncRNA from 1 species